UAAGUUAGUGUUGGUUUCUGAUGAGGCGAAGCCGAAACGCAACACAGUAUGAAAUAAGGAUUUGUGCCCUCCUGUACAAAGACUGGUUUUUACCAACAAAUUUUCACCCUAGCGAGAAAUUUUGGUUUUUACCAAAUUUUCCUCCUUAGGGUGAAAUAUAGCAUAGUGCUUUCGCAUAGGCCUGCUAAGCCAAGACAAGUUUCGGUUUCACUGUGUCUCAUCGGCAUAAACAGAACUUCUGCUCGAACGGGACAUCACGUUUGAUCAGUCGUUCGAUUGAAACACAAAGUGUGUUUUAGUUUUAAGGGAUUUGCGUCAAGCCAGCGCUAAUCUAUUCCGACAAUAAGUUAGUGUUGGUUUCUGAUGAGGCGAAGCCGAAACGCAACACAGUAUGAAAUAAGGAUUUGUGCCCUCAUGUACAAAGACUGGUUUUUACCAACAAAUUUUCACCCUAGCGAGAAAUUUUGGUUUUUACCAAAUUUUCCUCCUUAGGGUGAAAUAUAGCAUAGUGCUUUCGCAUAGGCCUGCUAAGCCAAGACAAGUUUCGGUUUCACUGUGUCUCAUCGGCAUAAACAGAACUUCUGCUCGAACGGGACAUCACGUUUGAUCAGUCGUUCGAUUGAAACACAAAGUGUGUUUUAGUUUUAAGGGAUUUGCGUCAAGCCGGCGCUAAUCUAUUCCGACAAUAAGUUAGUGUUGGUUUCUGAUGAGGCGAAGCCGAAAUGCAACACAGUAUGAGGUAAAUUUUGCUUUUGCUGGUACUACAUCACUUGCUCGCAGGUUCGAAUAUAUUACAUAAAACAAGGAAUGUUUUUAAAGAAAUUAUCAGUUAGAAAACAGAGUUUCCUACAACAACAGCUCAAUUGAAGAAUCUCUUAAAAUGAAACGUAAGUGUUCAGUUUGUGGUAUUUUGAUGUUGAGUACGCGUAUCAGAAAACUCACCAAUAACUUGUACGAUUGCGCAAUGAAAAAAAAAUAUGAAAAUAGAUGAGAGCAGCCUCCUUCAUUUGUUUUCGUUGCUACAAGAAACUGUAUGAACCAAAUGACUCCGAGACCGAAGAAGCCGUUGCAGGACCAUCGAGAAUCGCUGUUCCAGGUAUAUUAUCGAAAAUAUGACAUGAUUGUUUUUAAAAUUUCAAUUCUUUUCUGCAAAUUACUAACACGAACUCUUGUUCUUUGACCGCCAUUGCAGGACUUUCCGGAUUCAUUCCAUUUUCCUACCAAGACUCGUUAGAAGCACCCAGUUCUGAAUCGAUCGUUACCACUUACCACGCACCUUUGUCGGACGAUAAUGAAAUUGUUACACUAGAGAUGUGCAAACCAGCAUUUUAAUUCUUUGGAACAGCUCAGGAGCGGAUCGCCCAUCUCUAUGUUACACAACUUAAGGAGAAAUAUAAAGAAACAAGAGACAGCAAUGAGCGAUACAGGAUUUUAACCACACUUCCCAAAAGUUGGACUACAUAUAGAAUUAUGCAGGAGUUCAAUGUUCCUCAAUAUAUGGCCAACACAGCAAAAGCAUUGCGGCAAAAUUUACGUACAGAGAAGAUUAGGUGUUGCGGCAGAGCGCUUUCUAUAGCCGUCCCCUAAACUCAACACAGUCGACCACGCAACAAUAUGUGAAAUACUUUCAUCUGUGAUAUAUUGAACCCUACAAUACGCAUUGAAUAAAGUUUUAAUUUUGUCAGUCCAUCUCAGCCACCGCCGGCGGCGGAUGGUAUACAGCAGUUCAUUGUUUUAUUCCUGUUAUCACCGUCCGUGCGUGUCGAAUAGAAGUAGUAAUUUUAUCGGGUCCUAUCGCCAGACGCAUCAUAAUGGUGCCGUGACCAGGAUUUUUGAACCUUCCAUCGGAAAGCUGCAACGGUUACAAGAAGAUACAAGUGGAUAUCGAGACGCUUCGGCUAUGCCGGUGUGAGCAAAUUCGCAGCUGCUUAGCAAAAAUCCCCCAGCGGAGCUAUGCCAGUGUGGGCCAAUUUGCAGCCGCUUAGCAGAAUACACUUCGGCAUCCGGCUCAUAGGACGACUGCACGCCUUGCAUCGUUCUGGAGUGUAUUCCAAACCCAGCAAGUGUUCCGUCGAUAUUCUUCGAUCGUCUUCUGGAUCAACGUUCAGCAUCAUUCGACAUCUUCAAAGUAGCAAUGGAGGAAUCAGCAUCAACGGUAUCCUUCAUCAUAUCAUCACGUAUGACAUCCAAACACAACGUAGCUGUAUUAAAAACCUUCGGUUUUGGGGGGGACUAUGUUGCGGCAGAGCGCUUUCUAUAGCCGUCCCCUAAACUCAACACAGUCGACCACGCAACAAUAUGUGAAAUACUUUCAUCUGUGAUAUAUUGAACCCUACAAUACGCAUUGAAUAAAGUUUUAAUUUUGUCAGUCCAUCUCAGCCACCGCCGGCGGCGGAUGGUAUACAGCAGUUCAUUGUUUUAUUCCUGUUAUCACCGUCCGUGCGUGUCGAAUAGAAGUAGUAAUUUUAUCGGGUCCUAUCGCCAGACGCAUCAUUAGGUUUUAACGACAUUCAAUUAGCUAGAGAUUACUGGGUAGGGAAAGUUAUGAAACUUAGUUUUCCGA